AGUGAACGCUGGCGGUAGGCCUAACACAUGCGAGUCGAACGGAAGCACAGUAAGAGCUUGCUCUUACGGGUGGGGAGUGGCGGACGGGUGCGGAAUACAUCGGAAUCUACUUUUUCGUGGGGGAUAACGUAGGGAACUUACGCUAAUACCGCAUACGACCGACGGGUGAAAGCAGGGGAUCAUCGGACCUUGCGCGAAUGAAUGAGCCGAUGUCGGAUUAGCUAGUUGGGGGGGUAAAGGCCCACAAAGGCGACGAGCCGUAGCUGGUCUGAGAGGAUGAGCGCCCACACUAGAAGUGGAACACCGUCCAGACUCCUACGGGAGGCACCAGUGGGCAAUAUUAGACAUUGGGCGCAAACCUGGCCCAGCCAUAGCGCGUGGGUUGAAAAGGCCUUCGGGUUGUAAAGCCGGUUUGUUGUGAAAGAACAGCAGCAGGUUAAUACCCCGCUGUUCUGACGGUACCCAAUGAAUAAGCACCGGCUAACUUCGUG
rnacentral:rRNA from 1 species